rnacentral:misc_RNA from 1 species
AAAGUCGUAACAAGGUUUCCGUAGGUGAACCUGCGGAAGGAUCAUUAAAGAAGGUAACCUUUUUGGUGAACUCUUCAUAUCCCAUUGUCUACCUACUCUGUUGCUUCCAUGGUGCCAGCCAACUUUGGCUCUGGACAGGUGCUUAAACCCCAUCUGUUUGGAAGUGCCCAUGGGUGUCCCCAUUCCCCUCGGGGUUUGGAGGCAAAUCUAAAACUAUAUGUAAAGAAUUUGUCUGAAUAUAUUUUAUAAUAUAAUAUAAAACUUUCAACAACGGAUCUCUUGGCUCUU